rnacentral:lncRNA from 1 species
UAUAUCCAAGAUAUUUGAAAUACUUAAUAAAUGUAUAAUGGAUGAGAGAUUUUAAAAAAUGACUUCGUUUGUUCGCUUAGUGAUGUACAAUAGAUAAGUUAUCCAGAGGUUCAAGAUAAAAUGUGUUGGUGAUGUAUUUCUUUCUUCUAUACUAUUUGUUAAACUGUUUACCCUUCAGGUACACCUGAAUUUAUGGUGAGGUAAGUGGUGGUCAGUAUUCAAUGUAAUGUAUUGUUCGGGCUGUUUGCAUCUUUUGACUGUUUUCCUUUUUUGGAAACGGUGAUGUAUUUCCCAUUUGAUUUCCAAUUACCCCCUGAUAUCUUCUCUCUUAUUUUGUGCAAUGGAACAAUCAGCAUUUUUAUCAUCUUAUUUGCAUUUAAAACACUUUUUCAUCUCUUCCUUGAAUUCAAAUCAAAGUACC